ACUUCCUCUUAAUAUAUUCCACAGUUGACUUAUAUAUCAAGGAGCCACAUUUCAUACUUCUUGAAACUGAAGGAUCUUUGAUUCAGCAUCUGUGAGGGGUUGGUGGCGAACGGUAUCAGAUGCUGCUAGUCGCACUUUAUAAAUGGAUAAGCUCAUUGCUCAUUCAGAACCAACACUAUAUUGUGGUUAACAACCAUAGUAAGUAAGCCACUUGGAGAACAAAGUUUAGGCCUUUAGGGAAGCCAC
rnacentral:lncRNA from 1 species